rnacentral:rRNA from 1 species
CAGUCGCCGCGGUAAUACGGAGGGUGCAAGCGUUAAUCGGAUUUACUGGGCGUAAAGCGCACGCAGGCGGCUUUUUAAGUCAGAUGUGAAAUCCCUGAGCUCAACUUAGGAAUUGCAUCUGAUACUGGGAAGCUUGAGUCUCGUAGAGGGUGGUAGAAUUCCAGGUGUAGCGGUGAAAUGCGUAGAGAUCUGGAGGAAUACCGAUGGCGAAGGCAGCCACCUGGACUAAUACUGACGCUGAGGUACGAAAGCGUGGGGAGCAAACAGGAUUAGAGACCCGCGUAGUCCCUGUCUCUUAUAC